UACGGGGGGAGCAAGCGUUGUUCGGAUUUACUGGGCGUAAAGGGCGCGUAGGCGGCCAGCACAAGUCAGUUGUGAAAUCUCCGGGCUUAACUCGGAAAGGUCAACUGAUACUGCGGGGCUAGAGUGCGGAAGGGGCAACUGGAAUUCUCGGUGUAGCGGUGAAAUGCGUAGAUAUCGAGAGGAACACCUGCGGCGAAGGCGGGUUGCUGGGCCGACACUGACGCUGAUGCGCGAAAGCGUGGGGGAGCGAACAGG
rnacentral:rRNA from 1 species